UCGACUUUGGCCGACUGCUGCUUGUCCGAACCUGAACACUUAGCUCAACCUCAGUCUCUAGUGAUACACUUCCAAGUUCCAACCAAUGCGACAUCUCAAUCUCAAAAUGAUAAACGUGGUAGCCGUAGGCCUCGUCCUGUGCACCCUGGCCGCCGCGGGCGUCUGGUCGCCGGCUCCUCCGCCGCCAGCGGCACAGCAGCACGCCGGCGCCGAGCAUGUCGUCCGGGAGGGCCGCCGCGUCGUCAUCGUCGAGUACGAGCGCGAGCUCCCGCUCUCCCCGGGCGACGACAGCAGCACCGGUGUCGUCAAAGAGAGACACGUCAUCACGCCACCUCACGCCCUCCACGGUGGCCAGACGAACGGCGCGGUCUCUGACGCGGCCGACAAGGCGGCCGGCGUGGCGGAGGAAGGCAAGGAGAAGCUGUCCGAGGCCAAGGAGAGCGCCACGGGCAAGGUGUUCGGCGCGGUGAAGCGCUGCAAGGACAGGCUCUGCGGCGCGGCCAAGGGCGCGGAAGAAGGGGCCUCGCGCGUCAAGCAUGGCGCCGAGGACGCGGCCAAAGGCGCCGGGGAGGCGCUCUCGGAUGCCAAGGACAGAGCGGAGCACAAGGUGUUCGACGCUGCGUCGGGGGCCAAGGAGACCGCGAGGAGCGCCAAGGACAGAGUCUCCGAAGCAGCCGGUGAAGCCAAGGAGAAGAUCAAGGAUGGCGCUGCUGAAACCGCGAAGAGUGCCAAGCACAAGGUGUCCGAAGCGGCCGGUGAAGCCAAGGAGAAGGCGUCACGCGCCAAAGACGUUGCUGCUGAGACCGUGACGAGCGCCACGGGCAAGGUCUCUGAAGCGGCCGGUGAAGCCAAGGAGAAGGCGUCUCGCGCCAAAGACGUCGCGGCUGAGACCGUCACGAGCGCCACGGGCAAGGUCUCCGAAGCGGCCAGGAACGCCAAGGACAGCGCCAAGGAGACCGCCAUGAACGCCAAGGACAAGGUCUCCGGCAUGGCGGAGCGGGCCGAAGAUUACGCGCAAGACGCUGCCGGGACCGCGGCCGAGAAGGUGGCGCAUGCCGAGGAGGUCGCCAAGGCGAAGGCCGGCGAGGUGAGCAAGAACCUGACCGACAUCGUUCGGCGCGCCCGCGACGUGGCGUCCGACGCCGCCGUGUACCUCCUGGGCGCGCCCAUGGAGGCCGCGCGGACGGCGACGGCGGUGAUGCACCUGCUGGGCUUCGCCACGGCCUACGGCGCGUGCGUGUGGGUGACGUUCGUGUCCAGCCACGUCCUGGCCGCGGCGCUGCCGCGGCAGCAGCUGGGCGUGCUGCAGAGCAAGUUGUACCCGGUGUACUUCCGCGCCAUGGCCUACGGCGUCGGCCUGGCGCUCGCGGCGCACCUGCUCGGCCGCGAGCGGAGCUCCCUCGCGUCGCGCGCGCAGAGCUUCAACCUGCUCGGCGCGCUGGGGCUCGUCCUCGCCAACAUGCUGCUCCUCGAGCCAAAAGCCACCAAAGUGAUGUUCGAGAGGAUGAAAGUGGAGAAGGAGGAAGGCAGAGGAAGGGACAUGUCCGACGUCGUCGACACGCCGGCGGUCACCGUGGCCACGACGGCCCCCACAACCACAACCACGACGGCCACGGCCACCCCUAUGUCAGCAGCAGCUACCCGCGUCCUGCUGGACGACGCGAGAGCAGCCAAGGCGGCGAAGGCCACGGCGGGGGACGCGGAGAUGGCCAAGAGCAAGGUGGUGAGGCUGAACAAGCGGCUGAAGCAGCUCAACAGCUACUCGUCCCUGUGCAACGUGCUGUCCCUGAUGGCACUGACAUGGCACCUCGUGCACCUGGCUCGCCGCCUCCAGACGAGCACCGCUUGCUAGGCUCGAUCUGGGCGUCAGGGCCCAUUGUCCACGGGAAAUCUUGCUUCUAGUUCUGCGUUUCGGCGCUGCAUGCUCGCUGAUGGCCUCAAUGUUGUAAGCUUGCUCGCUGAUGGCCUCAAUGGGCUGGAGCAGCACGGAUCGGACGAUGCAGUCUUGUGCGGCUGUGCUUUGAUUGACCAUGACAGGCGAAUCAACACGUCCAUAGGCAUAAUAAGAUGAUAAGAUGGUGCCCCAAAGGAAGGACUACAAAUGCAAAUUUUUCUUUCUUUUUCUUAUAUGUUUUGUCAAACCUAAUCAAAUGGGCUAGCUCCGGGAGAAAACCUUGGUUCGAUUU